rnacentral:lncRNA from 1 species
GGGGCGUGGUGGUGGCAGAGGAAAAUCCUGAAGCACAGAGGUCAGAGUCAGGUGGAUGAAUGGAAAGAAGACUGCCUGAGAUGUUCUCUUUCCAGAGAAGCAAGAAGACAAAGAUGGAUAAAGUAGAUGAAAGACAAGCAGCGUAGGAAGAGGACUUCAGGCCUUGACCGUGAGUUGUGUGACCUCAGAGCUCACUGGUCUGGUUCUGUGAGGGAGACAUAAGAGGAUUCGCCCCGCUGGAUGUGACUCCCAGGUAAGAAAUUUAGUGAAGUAAUCCACUGUCGGCGUAGUUGUGCUCUCCACCUGUGAGUCUUUAUGUGGCAGUUAUAUUUAGGUACCUGGAUGGCCUGCUGGGGUUGUUUUUGUCAUGGAGACUUUACACAAACAUAACCAGCAUAAUAUUGUGUACUUAGUCCUCAUAAAGAAAUGUUCAUCCC